UGCUCAUAAAUUUCUCAAAUAAAUUCUUUGGGGGUGAAAUUUUGUGUGUUUGGUUUCAGCCCGAAGGUGAAUAGUCUUUGGAAAAGUUUGAGC
rnacentral:pre_miRNA from 1 species